CUGCCUUGAGGAACGCGGCCUGGCCGGUGGGAGAGCGGAGUUCGUCCACGGGCCUCUCCUCUUCCAGCUUUGCUCCUCCCAGCUUCGGAAAAGGCGGAGCAGGCGAAAUUCUGUGUUCCCAAAGACUAGAGACUUUGCCGGUUCCUGCUCAGUAGCGCAGGGUUUUGCUCUGUCGGCUAGGCUGGAAUGCAGUGGUUGGGUCAUGACCCACUGCAGCUGUUACUGGAAAGAGGUCCUGAUCCAGAUCCCAAGAGAGGGCUCUCGGUUAUCACCCAAGAAAAAAUUUGAGGGUGAGGCUAUUUAGCCAUCUGAAAUCGGAUUCCUCAGCAACUUCACCACACUCGGGACUGUGGAGACUGCUCUGUGCUCUCAGGAAACUACUGUCUUAAGGUGGAAGUCCAAGAAUCCACGUGGAGACUCACUGAGGCAAAGGGGCCAACCAUGGGAAAGAGCGGAUGGGGCUCAGGCAGGGCUGCUGUAGCAGCUGUGAUCUGAGGAGGUCUUUCCCGAGAGCACAGCAGACACCACCUCCACAGGAAGAUGUCAGGGAGGUCUGGGGGGUCUGUCUCAUGGGGCCAACCCCACAUCUCCACUUUGCUGCAUUUGUGGCUGUGGUGACUGUGCCUGUGGGGCUCAGUGCCAUGGGCUUCACCUCAGGAGGAAUCACUGCGUCCUCCAUGGCAGCCCAGAUGAUGGAGGGGGUGGAGUUGCCGCGGGCAGCGUGAUGGCUACUCUGCAGUCAGUGGGGGCAGCUGGACUCUCCGUGACAUCUGGAGUCAUCCUGAGCUCUGCUGGGUCAGCUCUUGGAGCCUGGCUGGGUUGCUUUUGCACCCUCAGCUGAAUACUGCACUGAAGCAGGGAGGUGACUCUCUUGAUGGAGAUGACUCUCCUGGGCCUCUGAAGGACAGUCUUCAAAGGACAAGUCCCCUACUGCCAAAAUCAUCCAAGGAAGCAUGAAAAAUAAAGACAAGAGGCUGCUGAUCUUCUCCUAGCAUCAGUUCCCUGUUCUUGUGGUCAGGAUAGAGCACAGCGCUGCAGCAGGAGUGCGGGGCAGGGAGGGACUCAAGAGGAAGGAGCAUGGGAUGUCUGUGACCAGAGCCAGUCUGACUCCAGGCUUUCCACUCACUCUGUGGUCCUGAGCAGGUCAUGUCUGCCCUUUGAGCCUCAGUUUGCUGCUCUUCAGAUCAGGGAGGCAGCCAGAGUCAGCGUUAUAGGAUGGUGUGGCUCUUGGGUCAGUGCUUGAGCCAUUGAUGCUCAAUUACGAAGCCCUUUGUCCCCAUGCCUGACUGAUCCCUUCCUUUUCCACCCAGGACUCAGGGUGUGGCUGUAUGAUUACUCUAGAAGUUGAACAAUACUGCGUUUGCCUGGCCGAUGGGCCUUCUCCAUACAGAUAGAAAAGUUUCAUUCCUCCAGGGAACUCUGUCCCUCUCGGCACAGAGCCCAGGCUCCUUAGCCCUCAGAUGGACUGAGCAGAGCCUGUGAGGAUGGACAAGGGGCUGGGAUUCCUGAGAAGUAGGCCGAUGCAGAACACCCAUUUCCAGAGACCUACUAUGUGCCUGGCACCUGAUUUGGGACCUACUGUGUGCCUGGCCCCAGAUCAGGUGCCAGGUGUCCUAUGCACACUAUGCACACUGACCUGUUGUCUGCCACCCGGCACCUGCUUGGCCGUUAGAAUAAGCCACAGUUGACUUCUGGAAAGCCUGUUAAGAUUUGGCCUCUGAUCUCAACCUCGGUCCCACUCUGGGCUGUUUGACCUUCACACUUAUUAUUCCUUUACAGCUGUAUUCCCAUAGGGCUCUCUCUGGGAUGCUGACUGAGCUGACUCCCACAGCUCCCAACUGGCCUCAAGGGCUCCAUCCCACAUGAUCCCCCUGGCUGCAGAGGAUCACAGAGAUCCAUCUCUGCCCUGGGUGCACAAUGUUGGGGAAGCCAGCCCUUAACCAAUGAUGUUAAGGGACUUGGGGUAAAUUACAGAAAUGACCACAUUCUCCUCCCUUUCAGCAUGGCUGUACAGCUCCUCCCAUCAAGAAGUAGGAGUUUCUUUCCCCUCCCUUUGAAUCUCUUCUGGCCCGGGGAGUUGCUCUGGCAGAUAGAACGCAGUGGAAGUGAUGGCAUGCUAAUCUUGAGCCUAGUCCCUAAGAAACCCUGCAGCCUUCUGCUGCAACGCCUGGUCCCCAUCACUGCUAUGAGAACAAGUCAGGCUGGACAAGCACACAAGGCCCAUUCAUUCCAGACAAGGCCCCAGACAUGGGAACGAGCCCAGGUGAGAUCUGCGAAAGCCGACCUGCAGCUACCUGCAGAUGGUUGAGGGACCCAGCUGAGACCAGAAGAACCACCUGCCUAGAUUGCUGACCCACAGAAUCAUGAGCUACGUAACUCUUUUAAGCCACUAAAUAGUGUGGUCACUUUUUAUCCAGCCACAGGUAACACAACAUAAGACAAUGUGUACAGUCCCUGAAGAGGAUCAGGCUAUAUGGCUCAUAGGACAGAGAAGGCAGAGGUUGAUUCUAAUUGUAGCUACCUGAAAAGACUUCCUGGAGUAAGUGCUGUGUUACUUAAGGAUUAUGUAGUUGUAAGUACUAGAAAUUUGACAGCACCUUGCUCAGAGUUCAAGGGAUUUCAUUGAUUUACUAAAUGAAAAAGUCCAAAGGGAAAGUAUGUUUCAGGCAAGAUUUGAUUCAGCAGCACAAUGUGGAUGUCAAAGACCUGUCUUCUGUUCUUCAUUUCUGAGGCAUCAGCUACAUCCGGUGCCUGCCAGCUCUCUCAGUUACAAGGCAGCUGUUAGCAGGCUCUGGAAGCUACCUUCUUUAUUCAUGUCUCCCAGAAAGAACCUUUUUUUCAUGCACUUUCUCCUGAAAAGCAAAGAAACGUCUUUCCCAAAUACUUCUAGUAAAUGUUAAUGCUGCUAUCUUAAA